UACGUAGGGUGCAAGCGUUAAUCGGAAUUACUGGGCGUAAAGCGUGCGCAGGCGGCUUUGCAAGACAGAUGUGAAAUCCCCGGGCUUAACCUGGGAAUGGCAAUGGAUACUGGACAGCUAGAGUGCGGUAGAGGGUAGUGGAAUUCCCGGUGUAGCAGUGAAAUGCGUAGAGAUCGGGAGGAACACCAGUGGCGAAGGCGGCUACCUGGACCAGCACUGACACUGAAGCACGAAAGCGUGGGGAGCAAACAGG
rnacentral:rRNA from 1 species